rnacentral:rRNA from 1 species
AGCAGCCGCGGUAAUUCCAGCUCCAAUAGCGUAUAUUAAAGUUGUUGCAGUUAAAAAGCUCGUAGUUGAACUUCGGGAUUUGCCCAUUGGUCAGGCUUAACUGUCUGCACUGGUGUGACGAGUUCCUACCUUCUGAGGAAUCUCCAUGUCAUUUCAGUUGGUGUGGGGGGAAAUCAGGACUGUUACUUUGAAAAAAUUAGAGUGUUUAAAGCAGGCAUCCGUCUGAAUACAUUAGCAUGGAAUAAUAAAAUAGGACGGUUUGGUUCUAUUUUGUUGGUUCUAGGAUCACCGUAAUGAUUAAUAGGGAU